rnacentral:rRNA from 1 species
GGUGUUCGGGUUGUCAUGCCAAUGGCACUGCCCGGUAGCUAAAUGCGGAAGAGAUAAGUGCUGAAAGCAUCUAAGCACGAAACUUGCCCCGAGAUGAGUUCUCCCUGAGACUUAGAGUCUCCUGAAGGAACGUUGAAGACGACGACGUUGAUAGGCCGGGUGUGUAAGCGCAGCGAUGCGUUGAGCUAACCGGUACUAAUGAACCGUGAGGCUUAACCUU